rnacentral:rRNA from 1 species
GGUUAGCUUAAGGCCAACCUGGACACACCCAGUCUCAGCUGAUUUUGGAAGCUAAACAGGGUUGGGCCAGGUUGGUACAUGACUCGUUUUUCUCGCUCCUUUUUUAGCCUUUUGAUUUUAGGAAGUAACUU